rnacentral:rRNA from 1 species
UAGGGAAUCUUCGGCAAUGGGGGCAACCCUGACCGAGCAACGCCGCGUGAGUGAAGAAGGUUUUCGGAUCGUAAAGCUCUGUUGUAAGAGAAGAACGAGUGUGAGAGUGGAGAGUUCACACUGUGACGGUAUCUUACCAGAAAGGGACGGCUAACUACGUGCCAGCAGCCGCGGUAAUACGUAGGUCCCGAGCGUUGUCCGGAUUUAUUGGGCGUAAAGCGAGCGCAGGCGGUUAGAUAAGUCUGAAGUUAAAGGCUGUGGCUUAACCAUAGUACGCUUUGGAAACUGUUUAACUUGAGUGCAAGAGGGGAGAGUGGAAUUCCAUGUGUAGCGGUGAAAUGCGUAGAUAUAUGGAGGAACACCGGUGGCGAAAGCGGCUCUCUGGCUUGUAACUGACGCUGAGGCUCGAAAGCGUGGGGAGCAAACAGGAUUAGAUACCCUGGUAGUCCACGCCGUAAACGAUGAGUGCUAGGUGUUAGACCCUUUCCGGGGUUUAGUGCCGUAGCUAACGCAUUAAGCACUCCGCCUGGGGAGUACGACCGCAAGGUUG